rnacentral:rRNA from 1 species
GAUGAACGCUGGCGGCGUGCCUAAUACAUGCAAGUCGAGCGAACAGACGAGGAGCUUGCUCCUCUGACGUUAGCGGCGGACGGGUGAGUAACACGUGGAUAACCUACCUAUAAGACUGGGAUAACUUCGGGAAACCGGAGCUAAUACCGGAUAAUAUAUUGAACCGCAUGGUUCAAUAGUGAAAGACGGUUUUGCUGUCACUUAUAGAUGGAUCCGCGCCGCAUUAGCUAGUUGGUAAGGUAACGGCUUACCAAGGCAACGAUGCGUAGCCGACCUGAGAGGGUGAUCGGCCACACUGGAACUGAGACACGGUCCAGACUCCUACGGGAGGCAGAAGUAGGGAAUCUUCCGCAAUGGGCGAAAGCCUGACGGAGCAACGCCGCGUGAGUGAUGAAGGUCUUCGGAUCGUAAAACUCUGUUAUUAGGGAAGAACAAAUGUGUAAGUAACUAUGCACGUCUUGACGGUACCUAAUCAGAAAGCCACGGCUAACUACGU